GACAGAGGGUGCAAACGUUGCUCGGAAUUACUGGGCGUAAAGCGCGUGUAGGUGGAUUGGUGUGUCAGAUGUGAAAUCCCCUGGGCUCAACCCAGGAACUGCACCUGAAACUACCAGUCUUGAGUGGUGGAGAGGGAAGUGGAAUUCCUGGUGUAGAGGUGUAAAUUCGUAGAUAUCAGGAGGAACACCAGUGGCGAAGGCGGCUUCCUGGACACCAACUGACGCUGAGACGCGAAAGCGUGGGGAGCAAACAGG
rnacentral:rRNA from 1 species